GCCUAUGGCCACACCACCCUGAAAGUGCCUGUUCUCGUCUGAUAUCUGAAGCGAUACAGGGUCGGGCCUCGGUAGUACCUGGAUGGGAGAACGCCUGAGAAGUUUUCAAAGCUUCUUGUU
rnacentral:rRNA from 1 species